AGCGAACGCUGGCGGCAUGCCUAACACAUGCAAGUCGAGCGCCGUAGCGAUACGGAGCGGCGGACGGGUGAGUAACGCGUAGGAACGUGUCCUGAGGUGGGGGAUAACCCUGGGAAACUAGGGCUAAUACCGCAUGAUGGCGAGAGCCCAAAGAUUUAUCGCCUUGGGAGCGGCCUGCGUCCGAUUAGCUAGUUGGUGGGGUAACGGCCUACCAAGGCUCUGAUCGGUAGCUGGUCUGAGAGGAUGAUCAGCCACACUGGGACUGAGACACGGCCCAGACUCCUACGGGAGGCAGCAGUGGGGAAUAUUGGACAAUGGGCGCAAGCCUGAUCCAGCAAUGCCGCGUGGAUGAAGAAGGUCUUCGGAUUGUAAAGUCCUUUCGGCGGGGACGAUGAUGACGGUACCCGCAGAAGAAGCCCCGGCUAACUACCUGCCAGCAGCCGCCGUAACAC
rnacentral:rRNA from 1 species